UGGGCAAUCUGCCCUUCUCAUCGGAAUAAGCGUUGGAAACGACGUCUAAUGCCGAAUACGACCUCCUUUCGCAUGAUCGGAGGUGGAAAGCUCCGGCGGAGAAGGAUGAGCUCGCGGCCUAUCAGCUAGUUGGUGUGGGUAAUGGCCCACCAAGGCGACGACGGGUAGCCGGCCUGGAGAGGGCGACCGGCCACACUGGGACUGAGACACGGCCCAGACCUCCGUACGGGAGGNAGCG
rnacentral:rRNA from 1 species